rnacentral:rRNA from 1 species
UACGGGGGGGGCAAGCGUUGUUCGGAAUUACUGGGCGUAAAGGGCUCGUAGGUGGCCAACUAAGUCAGACGUGAAAUCCCCAGGCUCAACUUGGGAACUGCGUCUGAUACUGGAUGGCUUGAAUUCGGGAGAGGGAUGCAGAAUUCCAGGUGUAGCGGUGAAAUGCGUAGAUAUCUGGAGGAAUACCGGUGGCGAAGGCGGCAUCCUGGACCGAGAUUGACACUGAUGAGCGAAAGCCAGGGGAGCAAAC